AUCUGGCUCAGAUUGAACGCUGGCGGCAGGCCUAACACAUGCAAGUCGAACGGUAACAGGAGAAGCUUGCUCUUGCUGACGAGUGGCGGACGGGUGAGUAAUGUCUGGGAAACUGCCUGAUGGAGGGGGAUAACUACUGGAAACGGUAGCUAAUACCGCAUAACGUCGCAAGACCAAAGAGGGGGACCUUCGGGCCUCUUGCCAUCGGAUGUGCCCAGAUGGGAUUAGCUUGUUGGUGGGGUAACGGCUCACCAAGGCGACGAUCCCUAGCUGGUCUGAGAGGAUGACCAGCCACACUGGAACUGAGACACGGUCCAGACUCCUACGGGAGGCAGCAGUGGGGAAUAUUGCACAAUGGGCGCAAGCCUGAUGCAGCCAUGCCGCGUGUAUGAAGAAGGCCUUCGGGUUGUAAAGUACUUUCAGCGGGGAGGAAGGGAGUAAAGUUAAUACCUUUGCUCAUUGACGUUACCCGCAGAAGAAGCACCGGCUAACUCCGUGCCAGCCGCAGC
rnacentral:rRNA from 1 species